GACAGAGGGUGCAAGCGUUGUUCGGAAUCAUUGGGCGUAAAGCGCACGUAGGCGGCUACGCAAGUCGGAUGUGAAAGCCCAGGGCUUAACCCUGGAAGUGCAUCCGAAACUGCGUGGCUUGAGUCCCGGAGAGGGUGGUGGAAUUCCGAGUGUAGAGGUGAAAUUCGUAGAUAUUCGGAGGAACACCAGUGGCGAAGGCGACCACCUGGACGGAGACUGACGCUGAGGUGCGAAAGCGUGGGGAGCAAACAGG
rnacentral:rRNA from 1 species